GCCGGCUGUACCGGAAGUCGCCGUGCCAACCGCAAGGAGGCAGGUGCCCAUGGUAUGGUCGGUGAUUGGGGUGAAGUCGUAACAAGGUAGCUGUAGGUGAACCUGCAGAAGGAUCA
rnacentral:rRNA from 1 species